UACGUAGGGUGCGAGCGUUAAUCGGAAUUACUGGGCGUAAAGCGUGCGCAGGUGGUUCGUCGUGUCCGAUGUGAAAGCCCCGGGCUCAACCUGGGAAUGGCAUUGGAAACUGGCGGACUAGAGUGUGGCAGAGGGGGGUGGAAUUCCGCGUGUAGCAGUGAAAUGCGUAGAGAUGCGGAGGAACACCGAUGGCGAAGGCAGCCCCCUGGGCUAACACUGACGCUCAGGCACGAAAGCGUGGGGAGCAAACAGG
rnacentral:rRNA from 1 species